UGACCUCGAAUCAGGUAGGGAUA
rnacentral:rRNA from 1 species